CCCCUCUCAGGGUGGCACCUGGAGAGUUUCCUGUACUCUACCGGUUUUGGCUAUGGGAGGGACAGUCAAGCAGAGGUCUACCCAUUCCAUUUCUAGCUUGGGCAGUGGUUAGCAAGUAAAUGGAAGGCAAUCUGCUACAAGU